GCCGAAGUGGUGGAAUGGCAGACGCACCGGACUCAAAAUCCGGCGGGGUAACACCCGUGAGGGUUCAAGUCCCUCCUUCGGCACCA
rnacentral:tRNA from 1 species